CAGCCGUAAACUAUGCGCGUUAGGUGUACUGGUGACCACGAGUCACCGGGGUGCCGAAGGGAAACCGUGAAACGUGCCGCCUGGGAAGUACGGUCGCAAGGCUGAAACUUAAAGGAAUUGGCGGGGGGAGCACCACAACAGGUGGAGCCUGCGGUUUAAUUGGACUCAACGCCGGGAAGCUCACCGGAUAGGACAGCAGAAUGAUUGCCGGGCUGAAGACCCUGCAUGACUAGCUGAGAGGAGGUGCAUGGCGUCAGUGACU
rnacentral:rRNA from 1 species